GUCAUAAGAUAUUUAUCUUUCUGAUACCUGUUUUGUGUUUUAUUGUUUCUAUUGCUGCUGUUGAUAUGUUUCGCUUAAUGUAUGGAACUGCAAAUACCACACUGCUUAUUAAUCUUUUCUGUGCUAGUCUGGCUAGUAACCAGUUAUGUCAGUGAGUGCUGAUUGGUGGAGGAUCUAAUUAAUGUUGAUUGGGUGAGAACGGGAGACGAGAGAAAAACCCUGGAAUCCGGAGAGAGGAAACCCGAGGUAUGACGUGGCUGACAAGGAAGGCAACACGGUUUUUCCAUAGAACUUUGCGUUCGUUGUGUGGACUAUUGGGCUUGUUGGCAAAACAAUCCAUGACGGGACACUGACGGUAACCAGAGAGAAUCCAUACUGACCGGAGAAAUCGCAUACUGGUCGGCGAAUAUUCAUCCACCCCAAGGUAGAGUGACGUCUUUUCUUUUGCUGCUGAAUAGAGUGAAGCGGCCAGUAAGUUUUCGGCCACAACGCACGCUAGCAACGACCCAGGCCUGCUACGUUUGGGGGUUAGGAGAGUGGUUUACCUGCUACGGUGUCCAAGGAAAGAUUCCCAUUGUCUUCUCCAGUGUGGGUGGGGAUGCCACUCUUCCCUGCAGGAAUGUGUUUCAUCCAGACUGCUCUUCUACUCACUGGCUUUAUACUGGCUCUAAAGGUGCUGGAGAAUUAGUCUCCUAUGGAAAGAUCAAUUAUAUUGCAGUCACACACAGAGUUAAGGGACUGAGUCUGGACUCUGACUGUUCUCUCCACAUUACUGAUGUCACCACUGAGGAUGCUGGACUCUAUGCCUGUAACAGGGAGGAUGUUUAUCUGUCUGUUCUUCAGGGUAGGUGUUAUUAUUGUUGUUUUAUUUGUUGUUGUUUUCAGGCCCUCAGGGGCUCAGUAACUGAAAUAAAAUGGAUUUGUUGGAUACAGUAAGUCUUUAUUAUGAGGUAUACAGUUAUUAAGGUUUUAUAUGUAGCCUUUUCUUAAUGACAUACUCAAAUUCAUUUUCAUCUUAUAUGGUCAUGUGAGGAGGAGGAACUCACUGAAAUAAAUCAGUAUGCAGGCUAGUUUGCUUUUCUUAG
rnacentral:lncRNA from 1 species